rnacentral:rRNA from 1 species
UACAGAGGGGGCAAGCGUUGUUCGGAAUUACUGGGCGUAAAGGGCUCGUAGGCGGCCAACUAAGUCGGAUGUGAAAUCCCCAGGCUCAACUUGGGAACUGCAUCCGAUACUGGAUGGCUUGAAUUCGGGAGAGGGAUGCAGAAUUCCAGGUGUAGCGGUGAAAUGCGUAGAUAUCUGGAGGAAUACCGGUGGCGAAGGCGGCAUCCUGGACCGACAUUGACGCUGAGGAGCGAAAGCUAGGGGAGCAAACGGG